ensembl:lncRNA
AUAAAUUAGAAUGUUGUGAAAAAGUUAAUUUAUUUCAGUAAUUCAACUCAAAUUUUGAAACUUGUGUAUUAAAUAAAUUCAAUGCACACAGACUGAUGUAGUUUAAGUCUUUGGUUCUUUUAAUUGUGAUGAUUUUGACUCACAUUUAAUCAAAACCCAUUAAUUCACUCAACAAAGUAGAAUACUUCAUAAGACCAAUAAAAAAAUUUUUUUAAAUUUUUUUAGUGAAUUGUUGGCCUUCUGGAAAGUAUGUUCAUUUACUGUACAUGUACUCAAUACUUGGUAGGGGCUCCUUUUGCUUUGAUUACUGCCUGAAUUCGGCGUGGCAUGGAGGUAAUCAGUUUGUGGCACUGCUGAGGUGGUAUGGAAGCAAUACCCCAUAGAUUCUCUCUGGGGUUCAGGUCUGGUGAGUUUGCUGGCCAGUCAAGCAGUGUGGGCAGGUGCCAAAUCUUGCUGGAAAAUGAAAUCAGCAUCUUCAAAAAGCUGGUCAGCAGAAGGAAGCAUGAAGUGCUCCAAAAUUCCUUGGUAAACGGGUGCAGUGACUUUGGUUUUCAAAAAACACAAUGGACCAACACCAGCAGAUGACAUUGCACCCCAAAUCAUCACAGACUGUGGAAACUUAACACUGGACUUCAAGCAACUUGGGCUAUGAGCUUCUCUACCCUUCCUCUAGACUCAAGGACCUCCAGAUGAAAUACAAAACUUGCUCUCAUCUGAAAAGAGAACUUUGGACCACUGGGCAACAGUCCAGUUCUUCUUCUCCUUAGCCCAGGUAAGACGCCUCGGGAGUGGCUUAACAAGAUGAAUAUGACAACUGUAGCCAAAUUCCUUGACACGUCUGUGUGUGGUGGCUCUUGAUGCCUUGAACCCAGCCUCAGUCCAUUCUUUGUGAAGUUCACUCAGAUUCUUGAAUCGAUUUUGCUCGACAGUCCUCAAAAGGCUCAAAAGGCAAAAGGUUAUCUCGGUUGGUUGUGCAUCUUUUUCUUCCACACUUUUUCCUUCCACUCAACUUUCUGUUAACAUGCUUGGAUACAGCACUCUGUGAACAGCCAGCUUCUUUGGCAAUGAAUGUUUGUGGCUUACCCUCCUUGUGAAGCGUGUCAGUGAUUUUCUUCUGGACAACUGUCAGAUCAGCAGUCUUCCCCAUGAUUGUGUAGCCUAGUGAACCAAACUGAGACACCAUUUUGAAGGCUCAGGAAACCUCUGCAGGUGUUUUGAGUUGAUUAGCUGAUUGGCAUGUCACCAUAUUCUAAUUUGUUGAGAUAGUGAAUUGGUGGGUUUUUGUUAAAUGUGAGCCAAAAUCAUCACAAUUAAAAGAACCAAAGACUUAAACUACUACUUUUUGUGCAUUGAAUUUAUUUAAUACACAAGUUUCACAAUUUGAGUUGAAUUACUGAAAUAAAUGAACUUUUCCUCGACAUUCUAAUUUGAGAAGCACCUGUAUAUAUAUUAUACACACACACACACACAUGCACACACAAAGAAAAACAAGUAGAUAGAACAGAAAAAAUUAGAAAGCUAGUGUUAGUUUUUUUUUUUUUAAUAAAAAAAGAAGAUAAUAGAUAAAGUAGAAUUAAAAUAGAAUAGAAAGUGCUAGAGUUAGAGGGUCAAAUAAAGAUGGAACAGAUGUGUUUUUAGUCGUUUCUUGAAGAUGGCUAAGGGCUCAGCUGCUCGGAUUGAGUUGGGCAGGUCAUUACACCAGGAGGGAUCAGUUAAUGAUAAAGUCAGUGAAAGUGAUUAUGUGCAUCUUUGAGAUGGCACAAUGAUACGCUGUUCACUUGCAGAACGCAAGUUUCUAGAGGGCACAUUACUCUGAAGUAAUGAAUUUAGGUCAAUGGUAAUUUAAGUAAAUUAUGAUUAUAGGAACUAAACUGUUUGGUUACCAAUAUUCUUUAAAGGGGUCAUAUGACUUUGCUAAAAAGAACAUUAUUUUGUAUAUUUGGUGUAAUGCAACAUGUUUAUGUGGUUUAAGGAAAAAAAAAAACAUUAUUUUCUACUG